UGAGUGACCUGCCGAUUCGUGGGGGAUAGCCGGGCCAACGCCCGGGUAAUACCGCAUACGCUCUUCUUGGGGCAUCUCUAGAAGAGGAAACCUCCGGGGCAAAUCGAGGGACUCGCGGCCUAUCAGCUAGUUGGCGAGGUAACGGCUCACCAAGGCUACGACGGGUAGCUGGUCUGAGAGGAUGGCCAGCCACAUUGGGACUGAGACACGGCCCAGACCUCCGUACGGGAGGCAGCAGG
rnacentral:rRNA from 1 species